rnacentral:lncRNA from 1 species
UCUUGGAAUAGUGUGCUUUAAUCAGUAACACAUUGCUUCUUUUCCUUCCUGGACAAAAUUAAGAGCAGAGAUUCCCCAGCCAGCAUGGAGAAGGAGAACUGGACCAUGGUGAGGGAGAGCCUUCUGACAGGGAGGCAGCCACCAGAGCCCUUUGGGGCCUCCUUGUCUUGAUUUUGUAUUGUCCUAUGUGAUGACUGUCCUUGAAAGUGCCCUCAUCUUUACCAGGAUUCUUGUGGAUUAUAGGCUUCACUCACCCAUAUAUUUCUUCCUUAGCCAGCUGUCCUGUCUUUCAUUGAAAUGUUAACCACGACCUGUGCUAUUCCCAAGAUGCUGACAGGCUUCCUCUCAGAGAGGAAGAGCAUCUCAUUUGGUGAAUGCUUCGUGCAAGUCAUUUUUCUACUUCCUCUUUCGAUGCACUGAGUUUGUCCUUUUUUCUGUGAGGUUCUAUGACUGCUAUGUGGCCAUUUGCAGCCUCCUUUAGUACCGGGUGAUUAUGACCAGCUUGUUUAGUGUCUAUCUUGUCAUCCUCUCCUGGAUGGAUGACUUUUUCUUCAUCCUCCCAUCUACUGUCCUUAAGGCAGGACUGCCAUACUGUGGCCCCAGUGUGAUUGAUUAUUUUUUCUGUAACAGUACCCACUUGCUCCUCUAGGCCUGUGCUGAAAUCCCUGUCAUCGAGCUGUUGGACUUCCUCAGCUCCUUUGUCCUACUCAUCAGCUUCUUUACCUCACAGUGGUCUCCUUUGUUUACAUCAUCUCUACCAUUGUGAAGAUACCCUCAGGCCAAGGUCAACAUAAAGCCUUUGGCACCUGUGCCUCUCACUUCCCUGUGGUCUCCAUGGGCUAUGGGAUCUCCAUCCUUGUCUAUGUCUGGCCCUCACAGAAGUGCAGCCUGCAUCUUAACAAGAUCCUUUUAUCCUCUCCAGUGUCAUCACAUCACUCCUGAAUUCCUUCAUCUUCAGUCUACAGAAUGAAUCCAUGAAAGACGGAUUGAAAGUCAUCUUGGCUAAGGGCCAGAACUUCCUCAGGGGAAUGAGAUCCAAGUGAUAGUGUAUUUGAAUGAUCCCAAACCUGGGCAUUCCUAGCCUUACAGAGAGUUUUAUGCUCCGUUUGUUUGCUGUAGCUGCUUCAUUGUACUCCAGAGCUCUCCCAGAGAUAUUUUUGUUGAUUGUUCAGUUUAACAAUGCCAGCUUUCUGGGGUUAUGCCUCCAGUAAUGACAAAUCUCACGUUUGUGACAGAAUAUACCCUCACAGGAUUUUCGACCAAUAAAAAUAUGUACAUUUUGCAUUCAGUGCUCUUCUCCUUGAUUUAAUUCUAUGCCCUCAUGGGAAAUGUCUUCAUCAUCAUGAUCACAACUUUGGACCAGCAUCUCCACACCUCCGUGUACUUCUUCUUGAAGAAUUUAUCCUUCUUGGAUCUCUGCCUAAUAUCAAUCACAAUUUCUACAUCCACUGCCAACUCUUU